GAUGAAGAACGUAGCGAAAUGCGAUACUUGGUGUGAAUUGCAGAAUCCCGUGAACCAUCGAGUCUUUGAACGCAGGUUGCGCCCGAAGCCAUUAGGCCGAGGGCACGCCUGCCUGGGCGUCACACGUCGUUGCCCCCCCAUCUACUCCUUCGGGAUUGCGGGGGGCGGAUGAUGGCCUCCCGUGCGCCUCGCCGCGCGGUUGGCAUAAAUGCCAAGUCCUCGGCGACGCACGCCACGACAAUCGGUGGUUGCGAAACCUCGGUUGCCCGUCGUGUGCGGUCGUCGCGCAUCGAGGGCUCGAAAAAAUUGCCGGGUUCCGGCUCGGCUUUCAACGCGACCCCAGGUCAGGCGGGGUUACCCGCUGAAUUUAAGCAUAUCAAUAAGCGGAGGA
rnacentral:misc_RNA from 1 species